UACGGAGGAUGCGAGCGUUAUCCGGAAUCAUUGGGUUUAAAGGGUGCGUAGGCGGCCUUUCAAGCCCGGGGUGAAAAUCUGGGGCCCAACCCCAGACCUGCCUCGGGAACUGGCUGGCUGGAGUACGCUUGCCGCGGGAGGAAUGAGUGGUGUAGCGGUGAAAUGCAUAGAUAUCACUCAGAACACCGAUUGCGAAGGCAUCCCGCGAAGGCGCAACUGACGCUGAGGCACGAAAGCGUGGGGAU
rnacentral:rRNA from 1 species